CGCUGACCUGCACAGCUUGGGGGUGCCCGGCGACAGGAGCAUCCUCACUGUCCUGGGCUCUCCCUGCCUCUGCCUGUUCCGGGGGGAGCGCAGGAUCCUGGGCUGUGUCCCCCAGCGCCCUGGGCUCCAGGGCCUGCGCUGCUGG
rnacentral:miRNA from 1 species